rnacentral:rRNA from 1 species
GAUGAACGCUAGCUACAGGCUUAACACAUGCAAGUCGAGGGGCAGCAUGAACUUAGCUUGCUAAGUUUGAUGGCGACCGGCGCACGGGUGAGUAACACGUAUCCAACCUGCCGAUGACUCGGGGAUAGCCUUUCGAAAGAAAGAUUAAUACCCGAUGGCAUAGUUCUUCCGCAUGGUAGAACUAUUAAAGAAUUUCGGUCAUCGAUGGGGAUGCGUUCCAUUAGGUUGUUGGCGGGGUAACGGCCCACCAAGCCUUCGAUGGAUAGGGGUUCUGAGAGGAAGGUCCCCCACAUUGGAACUGAGACAAGGGCCAAACACCUACGGGAGGCAGCAGUGAGGAAUAUUGGUGAAUGGACGAGAGUCCGAACCAGCCAAGUAGCGUGAAGGAAGACUGCCCGAUGGGUUGUAAACUUCUUUUAUAAGGGAAUAAAGUGAGGCACGUGUGCCUUUUUGUAUGUACCGUAUGAAUAAGGAUCGGCUAACUCCGUG